CCAAGCAUGGUUGUGUUCUUGAAGGUCUUGAAGAGGAUUUUUGUGAUGAAUAAUUCUCGUCAUCAUUCCACCAAGAAACGCGCAUGGUAAUUAACAUAGCUUCUUGAAUUCGGAUGCAAACUGGUCGAUUCUAUUAAGAUGGGAUAUCCCCACGACUAGUUUUGGACAUACAUUAGUAUAGAAGAGCGACUCUGAAAGUGAUUAUGAGUCAAAAGAUAUAUGAGACCAUAGCAUGGGAAUGUCAAGCAAAAUUUAAAGUGAAUUUUUCUUUUUCUUCAACUUCCAUACUGGUUUUCAAUUAUUCUCAAGGUCACAUUACAUGCAAAUUAUUAAAAGUUCU
rnacentral:lncRNA from 1 species